CCUACGGGUGGCAGCAGUGGGGAAUAUUGGACAAUGGGCGAAAGCCUGAUCCAGCCAUGCCGCGUGUGUGAAGAAGGCCUUCGGGUUGUAAAGCACUUUCAGUGGGGAAGAAAGCCUUGGGGCUAAUACCCUCGAGGAAGGACAUCACCCACAGAAGAAGCACCGGCUAACUCCGUGCCAGCAGCCGCGGUAAUACGGAGGGUGCGAGCGUUAAUCGGAAUUACUGGGCGUAAAGCGCGCGUAGGCGGUCUGAUAAGCCGGUUGUGAAAGCCCCGGGCUCAACCUGGGAACGGCAUCCGGAGCUGUCAGGCUAGAGUGCAGGAGAGGAAGGUAGAAUUCCCGGUGUAGCGGUGAAAUGCGUAGAGAUCGGGAGGAAUACCAGUGGCGAAGGCGGCCUUCUGGACUGACACUGACGCUGAGGUGCGAAAGCGUGGGUAGCAAACAGGAUUAGAUACCCGUGUAGUC
rnacentral:rRNA from 1 species